UAGGGAAUCUUCGGCAAUGGACGAAAGUCUGACCGAGCAACGCCGCGUGAGUGAAGAAGGUUUUCGGAUCGUAAAACUCUGUUGUUAGAGAAGAACAAGGACGUUAGUAACUGAACGUCCCCUGACGGUAUCUAACCAGAAAGCCACGGCUAACUACGUGCCAGCAGCCGCGGUAAUACGUAGGUGGCAAGCGUUGUCCGGAUUUAUUGGGCGUAAAGCGAGCGCAGGCGGUUUCUUAAGUCUGAUGUGAAAGCCCCCGGCUCAACCGGGGAGGGUCAUUGGAAACUGGGAGACUUGAGUGCAGAAGAGGAGAGUGGAAUUCCAUGUGUAGCGGUGAAGUGCGUAGAUAUAUGGAGGAACACCAGUGGCGAAGGCGGCUCUCUGGUCUGUAACUGACGCUGAGGCUCGAAAGCGUGGGGAGCAAACAGG
rnacentral:rRNA from 1 species